rnacentral:pre_miRNA from 1 species
CGCGGUGGAUGAUUAAAAGAAGCGAUAUUGGUGAGGUUCAAUCCGAUGAUUGAAUUUACACGACGAUGGUAGAACUGUCUCAGAUUGAGCCGCGCCAAUAUCACUUCCCUCCAUU